rnacentral:rRNA from 1 species
CACGUAGGGUGCGAGCGUUGUCCGGAAUUAUUGGGCGUAAAGGGAGUGUAGGCGGUUGUCUAAGUCUUCUGUGAAAUCUACGGGCUUAGCCUGUAACGUGCAGAGGAAACUGGGCGACUUGAGUGUCGGAGAGGAUAGGGGAAUACCCGGUGUAGAGGUGAAAUUCGUAGAGAUCGGGUGGAACACCAGUGGCGAAGGCGCCUGUCUGGCUGACAACUGACGCUGAGACUCGAAAGCAUGGGGAGCAAACAGG